CUUCUCUAACUAGGAACAAAUUUAGGCUAUUCUGAACAAUCUGUAUGUUCUUUUACUGUGGAAUGAAGUAACCCCUUGGGCUAAACAAGAACUGAAUGAACUUACAUGAAAAAUAAUAUGAGCUGCUCCAGUCACCUCAGCUUAACUGAAAAAAAAGGGCAAGGCACAUACCAAGAGAAAUGGGGAAGGAGACAUGCCAGGGUUCUCUCCAGACAUUCUUCUGAGAAAGUCUACUUUCUUGUGCAAACAGAGAGAUACUUCCAAGCUUGCUUUUCUAGGAAUUCCUGUGUGUCAUUGCCCUCUGAGACAAGUGAGAAAUGAGGCCAUGUCUCAUUUAUACCUUUGAAGAGGAUGAUUCCUUCCUGCCAUGAUCCAAUACCUAGUUUUUAAAAGUCUUCCCAGUUACUUACAUUUUCAUGCUCAAAAUUGCUGUGGUAGAGGUGAAGAGUCUUGGAAUAAUGACUAUGACACAACUUUUAAAAAUCCCUCAAGUAGUUAAUUACAUUCCUGGAGAGCUGGAGUAAUAACAGGAAUACUCAGAGUUGCAAUAAAAAUGUAAGAAGAUUUUUAGAAGGGCAUAAUUCACUUUUUAACUACAGUCUGUUUUGAAUUAUCAAAGGCAAGAGAGAGAGAGAGGGAAGGGGAGCAGAAAUGAGAUAACUCACGUGAAGAAAUAGCACAGGAAAUACAAACCAUAUGUACGCCAGACUAUGAAAACACACCAACAUAUCCACCUUCAGAAAGCUUGUAAGCACAUUUCCACAGAGAGCAGGGAUACCUGGAAGCAGCAGUGGGUCACUUGGGGCCCAGCACAUGUGGCUUUCCCCAUCCCUGGCUGAAGCCAAGACACGGCACCACCCCUACACUGCUGGGGUAAGGUGGGAACUGGUCACAGGUGUGUGAGGGUGGCUGUGCCAGGAAAGCCUGGCAGGUGCCCUCCAGGCAGGCUGUCCAUGCCCAGGUGAGGCCAUGGCACAGGAUGGCAUUUUCUGCACGUGUGGAACCGGGCAGCCCUGGUGGAUGCGAGCGCUCUGCGGCGCGCUGGGACUUUCCUGUGCAGCAUCUGCCACCGCCUGGGAACUGGGCACAGAUGUUUCCCCCCAGUGCCAGAGAGGAUGAGACCUCACCUUGUGACAGGAAGCUGCACAGGACAGGUCUGUGCAAACACACAGGUCCUGUGGAAUAGCUGGAGCCAGGCAGUCGCACACAGAACCCUGAUACACAAUGUAGGAUUCAGAGUGUGGAGGUCCCGAGCAGUAGCUGGACUUCUUGAUACUGCUAACUAAAGGCUGUUGUUUCUGAGGUUGUAGCAGCUGGGUACUUUUUAAGAAGAGAAGAUAGAGCUAAGCUUACUGGUAACAUUAUUUUAGGCAGCAAUUUCUGUGUGUCUUCUCUAAUUUUUGGCAUUCAAAAAACAGCUAUACCACAGAGGAGUAUUCUGGAUGCUUCUCUUUACCUUCUGCUUUCCAGGAACCCCAACGCUUAGAUGAGUUCCUGUUGACACUUUAUACAAAUCAUGGUUUUUU